ensembl:lncRNA
AGGCUUCCACAGAGUCCGCCCGCCCGCCUCCACUUCGCUCCAAAUUGUGGGCGGGGCGAGGAAAUCCCCGAGCCUCCGAUUGGACUUCCCGAGACUUCAAAGACUGCGAGGGGCGGGGUUUCGCCCGAGCCUGUUGAGCUGGGCAGAGACCGUGCGGCGUGCGAAGUAGAAAGCGGGGCGAAAUUGCCCCGAUCGGUCGCUCGGAGCUGUAGCCGCGCCUCCGAUCCAAAGCACGGGGAAGCAGAGUCAUCCAAAGCGAUUCCUCCCCCCCUACCCAGCAAACGUGGAGUAGCAUCAUCAUCACCACCACCACCACAGCCAACAGCCAAGGUUCAUCGCCUAAGUACCUCUUGCUCCCGAUGCCAACUCCUGCCCAGCUCGCUGCGCUUCUGCAGGGGUGCCAGUCUGGCGCAGGGAUCUGGAGGUUUGACAGCCCCGGCGGGAUCCCUCUUCCUCCCGCUGAGAUGCAGGCGGAUCGCAGCCUGGCUUGGGUGGAUCACUUGCAGCCUGAUGACCUCGCCGCGCGGUUCGAUCCAACUUCUGCCCGGGAUGUCAAAUAUAUGUUCAAAAGAAGAACUGGCAAUGGUGGGACGUCAUCAACCAUGUAUUCAAGCUUUCACUCAUAUGGUGAAGCUAUGGAAGCAAGACUGUGCAACACAAAGAUGGUGCAUCGUUUAUGAGAGAAGCUUUGUGUUCUGUGGGUAUUUGCUUCAAUGGAGGGAAAUGCUCUGCAGGAGCAUCUCUGACAUGCCAGUGUCCAGUGGGAUUCUAGGGUCCACGGUGCCAAUAUGA